GGGCUGAUGCCCAGAAUAGCUCAACUUUAAAUCAGCAAUGAAAACAGUGCAAAGGUAUAAAUCAGCAAUGAAAUACAAACCGACACAAACAACUCUCCGAAAACCAAAAUCCUUUCCCUCUGUCUCUUCAUCUUCUCUUUUUCUCUUCGUCUUCGUGAAUCGUAUCUACAAUCCCCUAAUCUGCUGAACACUAGUUCGUCAAAGCCCACUGAUGCCUGCGAUGCGAAUAAAUGUGCUGGUUUCAUUAUUGAAGGCGAGGCCUUGGUGUCAUCGUUGUCUUUGGGUGGAGCUGCCGUGGAUGCUGAUAAAUCAAAGGCAAUCGGCACUACACUACGUUUGAAGAAGCUCACGACGAAUAUUAAGUGGGAGAUAAGCUCUUAGAUGUGAAAUCUCGUUCACCAACUAGCAUAUCAUGGAUAACCCUGUAGUACCAGAGUUGAUCUCUCUAUACAUGCACAAGCAUCAAUUUGUGUAAGCCGAAAUAUGAGAUGGUGGGAGAAGAACCAUAAAGAAAAGAAGAAAAGAGAGUAAGAAG